rnacentral:rRNA from 1 species
CAGCACCUCAAGUGGUCAGGAUGAUUAUUGGGCCUAAAGCAUCCGUAGCCGGCGCUGUAAGUUUUCGGUUAAAUCUGUACGCUCAACGUACAGGCUGCCGGGAAUACUGCAGCGCUAGGGAGUGGGAGUGGUAGACGGUACUCGGUAGGAAGGGGUAAAAUCCUUUGAUCUAUUGAUGACCACCUGUGGCGAAGGCGGUCUACCAGAACACGUCCGACGGUGAGGGAUGAAAGCUGGGGGAGCAAACCGGAUUAGAGACCCGAGUAGUC